AAGGAUGUAGCUCAGUUGUAAAGCAUAUGCUUCGAAUGUAUGUGGCCCUGGGUUUAAUCUCUGACAUCCUUC
rnacentral:tRNA from 1 species